UAGGGAAUCUUCGGCAAAGGGGGGAACCCUGACCGAGCAACGCCGCGUGAGUGAAGAAGGUUCUCGGAUCGUAAAGCUCUGUUGUUAAGGAAGAACGAGUGUGAGAAUGGAAAGUUCAUGCUGUGACGGUACUUAACCAGAAAGGGACGGCUAACUACGUGCCAGCAGCCGCGGUAAUACGUAGGUCCCGAGCGUUGUCCGGAUUUAGUGGGCGUAAAGCGAGCGCAGGCGGUUAGAAAAGUCUGAUGUGAAAGGCAGUGGCUCAACCAUUGUAGGCUUUGGAAACUGUUUAACUUGGGUGCAGAAGGGGAGAGUGUAAUUCCAUGUGUAGCGGUGAAAUGCGUAGAUAUAUAGAGGAACACCGGUGGCGAGAGCGGCUCUCUGGUCUGUAACUAACGCUGAGGCUCGAAAGCGUGGGGAGCGAACAGG
rnacentral:rRNA from 1 species